rnacentral:sRNA from 1 species
UAAAGCGAAGUUCAGGCAGGUCAUGUUUUGAAACUCCACGAAUUCGAAAACUGUGCGCUGAGAGGAAGAUUCAAGCAUAUUGAUAGCGGAGAGGGUAUACAGCUGGCUUAAGUUAUACAACAUUCUUCUAACCAGCUACUACUGCAAGGGCAGAGCACUUGCCAUGCUCAUUGCCUCCCAACUAACUCGUAUAACGGUGUACUCCUCAUCUUCUUCCUCAUCAAAAUCAUCAUCAUCAGCUGCUGCUUCUUCGUCGCCGUCGUCGUCGUCGUCGUUUUGAUCAUCUUGUGCCUUUUUUUGACUGAUUAAGAAAAGGAAAACGCAGCCAAGCGUCACAAAAUGUGGCUGAUAAAAACCAAAGGCACAUGCACAACAAAAUUUCGUGUGCAGUCAAUGAAAAGUCAGCGAAGUUAUAUAGUAACCACAACUAUUCGCAUCAAUUAUGGACUUGUCUAAAUGUUUUAAAUCACCAUUUUCAACUACAACUCAAGUGCUGAAACCGCGAAUGGAUGAAUUGGUAGUUGGCUGCGCGAAAAUUGAUCCGUACUUACCAUAAAUAUCUGUACUUACCAUAAACAUUUAAUACAUACCUGUAAACAAUGCAUGAAAUAAAGUAUUUUAUUGA